UACGGGGGGGGCAAGCGUUGUUCGGAAUUACUGGGCGUAAAGGGCUCGUAGGCGGCCAACUAAGUCGGAUGUGAAAAUCCAGGGCUCAACCCUGGACCUGCAUUCGAUACGGGCAGACUAGAGUUCGGUAGGGGAGACUGGAAUUCCUGGUGUAGCGGUGAAAUGCGCAGAUAUCAGGAGGAACACCGGUGGCGAAGGCGGGUCUCUGGGCCGAUACUGACGCUGAGGAGCGAAAGCGUGGGGAGCGAACAGG
rnacentral:rRNA from 1 species